CUGGAAACUGAGUACUCUAUUGUCACAGAGGCCAACCGAGUGUAUGAGGAGAUCAGAGAGGACAGACAGAGCACAUCUCCUCCUGUAGAAGUGUCUACAGUUUACACUUACGCCAAAUACACCAAACCAGAUGAAGUGGAAACCACAGAGGAGUACAGCUUAGUCACUGCACCCACUUCUCAGAAGAAAACUGAAGACGACUGGAGUGACCUCACCUACUCUGAGCUGGAUCUUCCCAACGGUACAGCUGCCUCGCUGCACAGCGCCCCCUGUGGUGACGCAGAUAACGUGGUCUACUCUGUUCCUCGGGUAGAAGCCAGCUCGGCCGGCAGCCACGCCCAAGACGCUUCCCCUCCUCUGUACUCUACUGUUACUUUACAUCAGCUGUAGCUUCAACGCUGUCAGCGCCACAUUUACUCUCUC